CGGUAAUUCCAGCUCCAAUAGUAUAUAUUAGUGUUGUUGCAGUUAAAACGCUCGUAGUUGGAUUUUGGGCCCUGCCACGUUUGCGGUCCGCCGCAAGGUGUGCACUGCUCGGGGUGGCCUUCCUUUCGGAGAAACCGCAUGUCCUUCACCGGAUGUGCGGGCCUUGUCCGGAAAUUUUACUUUGAAUAAAUAAGAGUGUUCAAAGCAGGCCUUCGCUUGAAUACAUUAGCAUGGAAUAAUGAAAUAGGACUUUGGUUCUAUUUCGUUGGUUUCUAGGACCGAAGUAAUGAUUAAUAGGGCUGGUUGGGGUUAUUCGUAUUUAAUUGUCAGAGGUGAAAUUCUUGGAUUUAUGAAAGACGAACUUCUGCGAAAGCAUUUAGCCAGGACAGUCCCAUUAAUCAAGAACGAAAGUUAGGGGAUCGAAGACGAUCAGAUACCGUCGUAGUCUUAACCAUAAACUAUGCCGACUAGGGAUCAGCAGAUGUUACUUUUAUGACUCUGUUGGCACCUUAUGAGAAAUCAAAGUCUUUGGGUUCCGGGGGGAGUAUGGUCGCAAGGCUGAAACUUAAAGGAAUUGACGGAAGGGCACCACCAGGAGUGGAGCCUGCGGCUUAAUUUGACUCAACACGGGGAAACUCACCAGGUCCUGACAUAGUAAGGAUUGACAGAUUGAUAGCUCUUUCUUGAUUCUAUGGGUGGUGGUGCAUGGCCGUUCUUAGUUGGUGGAGUGAUUUGUCUGGUUAAUUCCGAUAACGAACGAGACCUUAACCUGCUAAAUAGUUAGGCUAACCUUUGUUUUGUCGUUGACUUAUUAGAGGGAAUAUCAGCGUUUAGCUGAUGGAAGUUCGAGGCAAUAUCAGGUCUGUGAUGCCAUUAGAUGUUCUGGGCCGCACGCGCGCUACACUGGCGAGGGCAACGAGUUUAUAACCUUGACCGGAAGGUUUGUGUUAUGUUCUGUAACCUUGUCGUGCUGGGGAUAGAGCAUUUCAAUUUUUUCUCUUCAGCGAGGAAUUUAUAGUAAGCUCAUGUCAUCAGCUUGCGUUGAUUACGUCCCUUCCCUUUGUACACACCUCCCGUCGCUAGUACCGACUGAACAUUUUAGUGUGGUUUCUGGACCGGUGCUUUGAAGCUGGCAACAGCCUUAUUGCACUGGGAAACUGCCCAAAAUUGGAUGUUUAGAGGAAGUAUAAAGUCGUAACAAGGUAUACCGUAAGGGU
rnacentral:rRNA from 1 species